GAUGAGCGCUGGCGGCGUGCUUAACACAUGCAAGUCGAACGGAAAGGCUCCUGCUUGCAGGGGUACUCGAGUGGCGAACGGGUGAGUAACACGUGGGUGAUCUGCCCUGCACUUCGGGAUAAGCCUGGGAAACUGGGUCUAAUACCGGAUAGGACGAUGGUUUGGAUGCCAUUGUGGAAAGUUUUUUCGGUGUGGGAUGAGCUCGCGGCCUAUCAGCUUGUUGGUGGGGUAAUGGCCUACCAAGGCGUCGACGGGUAGCCGGCCUGAGAGGGUGUACGGCCACAUUGGGACUGAGAUACGGCCCAGACUCCUACGGGAGGCAGCAGUGGGGAAUAUUGCACAAUGGGCGCAAGCCUGAUGCAGCGACGCCGCGUGGGGGAUGACGGCCUUCGGGUUGUAAACUCCCUUCGCUAGGGACGAAGCGCAAGUGACGGUACCUGGAGAAGAAGCACCGGCUAACUACGUG
rnacentral:rRNA from 1 species